GGGCCGUUAGCUCAGCGGAUAGAGCACCCGCCUUCUAAGCGGGCAUUGCGAGGGUUCGAUUCCCUCACGGCCCG
rnacentral:tRNA from 2 species